CUAUCAUCAUCAUCACACAACAGACUAGCAUACCAAAUCACACAUUCUAAUAAUUAUACAGUCAUUUUGGAAGUAAUAUACAUAUCAUUGUUGUGCUAUGGUAUUUUAUUGCUAUUGCGUGUAGACAUAUGUUGUGAGAAGUUACAGUGUAUUGUAAUGUCUGUGUCAUCGGCCACUGCUGCAGCGUCAACGCGCCCUAGAAAAGAUUCUAGAACUACAAGUCCUAAAGUCAGAUCUAUGACACCUAAGCAAUCGGGAGUAGAAGGUUUAGAAGACUUCCAAAGGAAAAGAUCUAAUUCAUCAAAAUCUGCAGUAAAUGACUGUUGUAUUAUUUGCAUAAUUAUGUGUCUGGCUGCAAUAAUACAGAUAUUUCAUGGGAGCCCAGGAUGAUCAUAAAUGAAGAUAUAGAAUAUUUAUAAAAAAAAGAUACCUUUUUCUAAGGUUUUGAAAGAGAAUAUUUCACUGGACUGGUGAUAUUUGAUGAAAUGGAAUCCGAUUCUUAAAUGGAUAAUUAUAUGUAUAUGUAGCAUGUGUGUUAUAGUUUCAUUUUAUAGAGUACACGUUGACUGACAGAUUCAUUGAUUCUGAGAUAGCCUAGCUGGUUCUACUCUGUAAACUAAUUACAAGAUAAGCCCUUUUAUGGUAACUAUCUUCAACUAUGGCGUCUACAUUUAGAAUUAUUAACCAAAAAGUAUAGCCAGUAUCGUAAAUCAUAGCAUCGGAACAAAGUCAUAAAAUUUUCUAUUUGCAAUUAUUACUUCAGAAGAUAAUUAUUUUCAAAAAUCUCUAUACAUUAUUCCAAUUUGAGGACUGAAAUUACACUUAAAAUAGUACAGAUAUUAUAUGAGAGUGAUUUAACAUUAAAUCUUAGGACCUUUGGAGACUUCUAAAUGUCAAUAAAAUUGUAUUGUAUAGAUUUUGUGAAUGCAACGUGUAUAUUAAUGGGUUGAUAUGCAUUAAAAAUAUAUCGUGGAAUUUCAUUUUCAUUCGAAAAAUUCGACUUUACAAAAUUGCAUCUUUCUCUACCGAUAUAGAUAAUUGUUUAAAUUUCGAUGAGUGCUAUUUCUAGGUCCAGUGAUUUUUCUUAGUAAAAGCAAUUUGUAUUUUUCCUCACCAUGCAGACAUACAAAGUUUUUGAAUUUCAUAUCUCGAAUCUAAUAACGGUUUUAUGAAUUAUCUGAAAGGGUUUUGAUGAAUUUAAAUAAUGAUCUAGAUUUGAAAAAAUAAAAAAAUAUUUGAAAAAAGUACUUUAUAUAAUGUGUUAGAACUUCGUGAGAUUUAUUUUACCUUUCAUGAGAGAUCCUGAUGAUUUUACGGGCAAUUAUUGAUGUAAAUAAAAUUGAGAAUGGAAAUGGAGAAUAUGUCAAAGAGACAACAACCCGAAAAAAGAGCAGACAACAGCCGAAGGCCACCAAUGGGUCUUCAACGCAGCGAGAAAAUCCCGCACCCGGAGGUGGUCCUCAGCUGUCCCCUAAAUAAAAAGUCAAUUAUUAAAGAAGCUUUGAAGCAAAUUAAGAGGGAAAUAAUGUUAUUUUCAACAGCAUAACCAGUUAUGCAUUUUUAAGCAAACAACAUACAAUACAUCCAUUUUCUAUUUAGUAUUCAAAUGUUAUACUAUUAUUUUAGAUCCCUUUUGGUCAUAUAGCCCUUCACGGUUUCAUCCUUGGCUUUCACAUAUUUAGUUUUGAGCGUCCCUGAUGAAGGUAAAUCUAGAAAAGCGCUUCGGACGCAUUAAACUUCUAUAAAGAAGUGUUAUUAUCAUAUUUUAUUAUACAAUCGUUUAUUUGCAUUUUUGGUGAUUAACUUUUAUUUGCCAAAAACAGAGGAUUGUUUAAAUGAUAUUCUGUGACUAGGUUUACAUUUACAUAUUACAUUUUAUAAAAGGUCAUUUUGCUCUAUCCACAUGGCUUGGUCAUUCAUUUUAUUGUAAAAUUGAGAUUCGUAUAUAGUAGGAGAGUCACUAAUGAUUUAUUUGUUCAGCACGUUUACAAAUGUUUUGAGUUAUAUGAUAAUUCCAUUUUUUAAAACCUGUAUUAAAAAUGAUAUGAAUACCAGAUGGUUGGGGAUUACAACAUCAACACUUGUAAAAACUAUAUUUGCAACUGUGAUUUGAUAUUUGUAUGCAUGUAAUUUGCUAAUGUGUUCAGAAAUAUUCUAACUAAUUUAACAAAUUAAAAUGAUAAAUAUACCAAAAUCAAUA